rnacentral:rRNA from 1 species
GACGAACGCUGGCGGCGUGCUUAACACAUGCAAGUCGAACGGAAAGGCCCUUCGGGGUACUCGAGUGGCGAACGGGUGAGUAACACGUGGGUGAUCUGCCCUGCACUUUGGGAUAAGCCUGGGAAACUGGGUCUAAUACCGAAUAGGACCACGCGCUUCAUGGUGUGUGGUGGAAAGCUUUUGCGGUGUGGGAUGGGCCCGCGGCCUAUCAGCUUGUUGGUGGGGUAAUGGCCUACCAAGGCGACGACGGGUAGCCGGCCUGAGAGGGUGACCGGCCACACUGGGACUGAGAUACGGCCCAGACUCCUACGGGAGGCAGCAGUGGGGAAUAUUGCACAAUGGGCGCAAGCCUGAUGCAGCGACGCCGCGUGAGGGAUGACGGCCUUCGGGUUGUAAACCUCUUUCACCAGGGACGAAGCGUAAGUGACGGUACCUGGAGAAGAAGCGCCGGCCAACUACGUG